GCCCAGGGGGGAGCGUUCCGUCUGCAGGGAAGGUCGACCGUAAGGACGGCUGGAGCGGGCGGAAGUGAGAAUGCAGGCAUGAGUAGCGAACAAACACGUGAGAACCGUGUUUGCCGUAAAUCUAAGGUUUCCGACGCCAGGUCAUUCCGCGUCGGGUUAGUCGAGGCCUUAGCCGAGGCCGAAAGGCGUAGGUGAUGGACAUCCGGUCAACAUUCCGGAACCACCUGAAUGGAGCGAUGUGGGGACGCAGCGGGGUAGGUCAGCCUCCGAUUGGUUGCGGAGGUGCGAUCUGCAGAAGCGUUGAGGCUGGUAGGCAAAUCCGCCAGCUGAGCUCAGGCAAGAGCGAGCCUUUAAGGCAUAAGUGAUUGAGCCUUGCUGCCAAGAAAAGCCACUAAGCGUCGAUAUUUGGGUGCUCGUACCGCAAACCGACACUGGUAGAUGGGUGUAAAUGCACCAAGGCGAACGGGAGAACCAUCGUUAAGGAACUAGGCAACAUGACCCCGUAACUUCGGGAGAAGGGGUACCUGGCGACAGGUCGCAGUAAAUUGGCUCUAGUGACUGUUUAACAAAAACACAGGUCUCUGCUAAACCGUAAGGUGAUGUAUAGGGGCUGACGCGUGCCCAGUGCCGGAAGGUUAAAGGGAGAGGUUAGACGCAAGUCGAAGCUUUGAACUGAAGCCCCGGUGAACGGCGGCCGUAACUAUAACGGUCCUAAGGUAGCGAAAUUCCUUGUCGGGUAAGUUCCGACCCGCACGAACCGCGUAACAACUAGAGCACUGUCUCAACGAUGGACCCGGUGAAAUUGAAAUGGCUGUGAAGAUGCGGCCUACCCGCAGCAGGACAAAAAGACCCCGUGGAGCUUUACUGCAGUUUGGCAUUGAAUUUGGGUAUCGUCUGUGUAGGAUAGGUGGGAGGCUUUGAAGCUGGGGCGCUAGCCUCGGUGGAGCCAUCAGUGAAAUACCACCCUGAUGAUAUUUAGAUCCUAACCUCAUUCCAUGAAUCUGGAUGAGGGACCGUGCCAGAUGGGCAGUUUGACUGGGGCGGUCGCCUCCUAAAAGGUAACGGAGGCGCCCAAAGGUUCCCUCAGGGUGAAUGGAAACCACCCAAAGAGUGCAAAGGCAUAAGGGAGCUUGACUGUAAGGCCAACGCGCCGAACAGAGACGAAAGUCGGGCUUAGUGAUCCCACAAUACCGAGUGGAAGGGUUGUGGCUUACCGGAUAAAAGCUACCCCGGGGAUAACAGGCUGGUGAGAUCCAAGAGUUCACAUCGACGAUCUCGCUCGGCACCUCGAUGUCGGCUCAUCGCAUCCUGGGGCUGGACAAGGUCCCAAGGGUCGGGCUGUUCGCCCGUUAAAGCGGUACGCGAGCUGGGUUCAGACCGUCGUGAGACAGGUCGGUCUCUAUCCGCUGUGGGCGUAAGGGAUUUGAGAGGAGCUGCCCCUACUACGAGAGGACCGGGGUGGACUGACCUCUGGUGUGCCAGUUGUUCCGCCAGGAGCAUCGCUGGGUAGCUAUGUCGGGCAGAGAUAACCGCUGAAAGCAUCUAAGUGGGAAACUCGCCUCAAGAUUAGAUCCCUCAU
rnacentral:rRNA from 1 species